UGUUGGCUAGCAACAAAAUUACGUUAGUCUAGCAGGGUUAGUUGCUUUCCGUUUUCUUGUAUUAUGCACCGCCGGUGGAGUGGAAAAUAAAUGUUGUAACAUGAUUUCUGUUUAGCUUUUUCAUACAUUUCGUUGAGUAAACGUUGAAGAGAAAAGGCUCAAUCACCACCAGUUGUUACUUAACCUAAAUCUAUUAAAACGGGUCAUCAAACAGUUUUUUAAGAGGUCAACUAGUAAAUCCCCGAUAAAGUGCACCCUGAAGUCCCCGUUUCGUAGCCAUCAUGAUGAGCGACAAGCAAACAAGUGCUUUGUGUGAGUAAAUAUAGCUGGAAGACCCGAAAAUGCAGACAGCAAACAUUGGGAAGACCCAAUGGCAAACAUAUGCGCGUAUACACAGGAAGACUUGGGCCGGACAAGAACCUAGAAAUGUCAAUAAGCGAACACGAGGUAAAAUCGUCAGCAACGAAAGCUUUGAAC